rnacentral:tRNA from 1 species
UGGCUCAGUGGUAGAGUGCUUGCCUUGGAUGCAUGAGGCCCUGGUUUCAAUUCUCAG